rnacentral:rRNA from 1 species
CGGGUGAGUAACACGUAAACAACCUGCCUUCAGGAUGGGGACAACAGACGGAAACGACUGCUAAUACCGAAUGUGUUCCGGAGACCGCAUGAUUUCCGGAAGAAAGGAUGGCCUCUAUUUAUAAGCUAUCGCCUGAAGAGGGGUUUGCGUCUGAUUAGGCAGUUGGUGAGGUAACGGCCCACCAAACCUACGAUCAGUAGCCGGUCUGAGAGGAUGAACGGCCACACUGGAACUGAGACACGGUCCAGACUCCUACGGGAGGCAGCAGUGGGGAAUCUUCCGCAAUGGACGAAAGUCUGACGGAGCAACGCCGCGUGAGUGAUGACGGCCUUCGGGUUGUAAAGCUCUGUGAUCGGGGACGAAUGGCUGGUAUGCUAAUACCAUAUCAGAGUGACGGUACCCGAAUAGCAAGCCACGGCUAACUACGUGCCAGCAGCCGCGGUAAUACGUAGGUGGCAAGCGUUGUCCGGAAUUAUUGGGCGUAAAGCGCGCGCAGGCGGCUUCUUAAGUCCAUCUUAAAAGUGCGGGGCUUAACCCCGUGAUGGGAUGGAAACUGGGAGGCUGGAGUAUCGGAGAGGAAAGUGGAAUUCCUAGUGUAGCGGUGAAAUGCGUAGAGAUUAGGGAGAACACCGGUGGCGAAGGCGACUU